rnacentral:rRNA from 1 species
CGGGUAUGCAUACCCGUUUGCAUGUACUUUAUGAAUAAGGAUCGGCUAACUCCGUGCCAGCAGCCGCGGUAAUACGGAGGAUCCGAGCGUUAUCCGGAUUUAUUGGGUUUAAAGGGAGCGUAGAUGGAUGUUUAAGUCAGUUGUGAAAGUUUGCGGCUCAACCGUAAAAUUGCAGUUGAUACUGGAUGUCUUGAGUGCAGUUGAGGCAGGCGGAAUUCGUGGUGUAGCGGUGAAAUGCUUAGAUAUCACGAAGAACUCCGAUUGCGAAGGCAGCCUGCUAAGCUGCAACUGACAUUGAGGCUCGAAAGUGUGGGUAUCAAACAGGAUUAGAUACCCUGGUAGUCCACACGGUAAACGAUGAAUACUCGCUGUUUGCGAUAUACGGCAAGCGGCCAAGCGAAAGCGUUAAGUAUUCCACCUGGGGAGUACGCCGGCAACGGUGAAACUCAAAGGAAUUGACGGGGGCCCGCACAAGCGGAGGAACAUGUGGUUUAAUUCGAUGAUACGCGAGGAACCUUACCCGGGCUUAAAUUGCACUCGAAUGAUCCGGAAACGGUUCAGCUAGCAAUAGCGAGUGUGAAGGUGCUGCAUGGUUGUCGUCAGCUCGUGCCGUGAGGUGUCGGCUUAAGUGCCAUAACGAGCGCAACCCUUGUUGUCAGUUACUAACAGGUGAUGCUGAGGACUCUGACAAGACUGCCAUCGUAAGAUGUGAGGAAGGUGGGGAUGACGUCAAAUCAGCACGGCCCUUACGUCCGGGGCUACACACGUGUUACAAUGGGGGGUACAGAGGGCCGCUACCACGCGAGUGGAUGCCAAUCCCUAAAACCCCUCUCAGUUCGGACUGGAGUCUGCAACCCGACUCCACGAAGCUGGAUUCGCUAGUAAUCGCGCAUCAGCCACGGCGCGGUGAAUACGUUCCCGGGCCUUGUACACACCGCCCGUCAAGCCAUGGGAGCCGGGGGUACCUGAAGUGCGUAACCGCGAGGAUCGCCCUAGGGUAAAACUGGUGACUGGGGCUAAGUCUAACCAAGGUA